rnacentral:lncRNA from 1 species
UAUCCUAAUUGUGGCCACUGGCCAAGUCAGUAGCUACCAUACAAUCUUGUAAGUUUAGAAGGCCAGCAUUCCUUCUUUUAUGUGCUUCUUUUGAUCGGCACAUUACGACAUUACCUCAUUUAAAUCGAGCCCCCCAAACCUAAGGAACAAUAGAUUCAGCAGCUAUACUGUUCAACUAUUCCUUCUGCUGUUAUUUCAUCCUUGCAUAUACAACACUUCCUCAGUUAGAGAGCUAGCUCGCCUAAUCUAAGAGACCAUGGACCCCAACAGCUAACACAAUUUCAUUUCUGAUGGUACCAUCUCAUUUAUGGCAUUACUACCUCACUUGGGGCUAGCUCACACCUAAUCUACAGAUCAUGGAUGCGAGAAUAAAAAUGUAUAGAUAUGCACCAAAGAGGAAGCAUGGAUCGCAAAGCGUAUCCAUUGCCUUUUCUUCCCAG